rnacentral:rRNA from 1 species
ACCAACAGGAUUGCCUCAGUAGCGGCGAGUGAAGCGGCAAGAGCUCAGAUUUGAAAUCGUGCUUUGCGGCACGAGUUGUAGAUUGCAGGUUGGAGUCUGUGUGGAAGGCGGUGUCCAAGUCCCUUGGAACAGGGCGCCCAGGAGGGUGAGAGCCCCGUGGGAUGCCGGCGGAAGCAAUGAGGCCCUUCUGACGAGUCGAGUUGUUUGGGAAUGCAGCUCCAAGCGGGUGGUAAAUUCCAUCUAAGGCUAAAUACUGGCGAGAGACCGAUAGCGAACAAGUACUGUGAAGGAAAGAUGAAAAGCACUUUGAAAAGAGAGUGAAACAGCACGUGAAAUUGUUGAAAGGGAAGGGUAUUGCGCCCGACAUGGGGAUUGCGCACCGCUGCCUCUCGUGGGCGGCGCUCUGGGCUUUCCCUGGGCCAGCAUCGGUUCUUGCUGCAGGAGAAGGGGUUCUGGAACGUGGCUCUUCGGAGUGUUAUAGCCAGGG